rnacentral:lncRNA from 1 species
UCUGAUGCUUGAAGCAUAUAACAGAAGACAGAAUACACCCCUUAGUCUCCAGAAACCUGCCUGGGAACCUGGUCUACCACUCCUUUGCCCUAUCUCAGAUCAAGGGCUAUAUUAUCUCCUCAUAUCAAGUCAAGGUGAUGCUACUGAAGGCUUUGACAGCUAUUUCCAGGAUUAAAUAGUGGCAUUAAACAGUGACACAGCUGUGGAAAUCCGAGGACUUUGUUUAAAACAGCCAGCAUCCCACAAAGACGGCAUCCUAUCUUCUACAAGAACGAUCUCAAUGGCCUGAAGGUCAGCCUACAUUUCUUAUUUUGUAUUAACAAAUCUCCAGAGCUCAGCACAGAAUAUGGCCAGCUGACAUUGUUUGAAAGCAGGACAGGGUGGGGGAGGGGCAAAACAAGCUGGUAAAGUGCUGAGUCUAACCUCCAGCAAGUAUGUACAAAAGCUGGGCCAGCUAGCCUAGCUUUAAAAAGAGUGAUCUUCAAUCUCACAAAAGACCCUAUCUCAAAAGAUGAGGCAGAUAGCUCCUGAGGACUGAUGAGGAAUGAGGUUGACCUCUGCCCUCUACCUAAACACACACACACACACACACACACACACACACAUAUGUACACACAUACACACACACAUACAUGCACACACACACAUUUGCGCAUAUACAUGCACACAUGCACACACGUGGUGCGAAGGGGAACAAACAUAAGCAAUUAAGUUUUCAAUGUGGCUCAUUGUAGGGUCCACAUCAGAGUUGUGCUACUGUAUCCGAUUUUCUUUCCCUCGUCUUGGGCUGACAAAUCUCUGUGAUCAAUCUUCCCAUUACAUUAUUUGAUUGGACUUCUCCAAACAAGGACCCUGACUGCUGCUGCUCCUGGCUUUUCCCAACUGAAUCAACUCUUCAGAAAAACUAAAGAAACUUUGCUACAGAAAAUGUAAGAGAGCCCAUUUGCCCAGCAUCUCUCUGGCUCUCAACUACAUCUGCACAAAAUGGUCCAGCUAUUGAUCCGCAAAAGUGCAGGAAGAAGGCUGGAAAUGGCGUGUUCUAGGUCUAGGUAACUUGCAAUUGAUCCAAAAACUGUUUCUGGUUAGUCUUAUCUGGGAAAGUGGAUGGCGAAUUGAUCCUUUCAAGUUCAAAUCCAAUUAUGUCAACCUCCGGCUUAAAACCUUCAGUGGCCUCUCCUUUCCAUUUAGGAUCAAGAGCACAACUCCUGCGGGGAUGAACCCCUCAGCAGCCCAGACUUCGCCCCAGCCCUCCCUCUCAGUACUUCUUCCACUCACUGGCCUCCAGUGCUACAACUAGACUCAUGGCUCCAGGAUCUUGCAAUCCACCUCAGGCUUAUUCUGUUCUGAUUGUGGGUCUGUUGUCAUUUCUGCAGGAAGCCCGGCCUGGAGACCCAGAGCCUCUGUGUUUCAUUAAUCUCCAUGUGCCCAGGAUCUGUUUCAGCACCCUUGAUUCACACCAAAUCCUCGUUCUAGUUCAGUCUAAUUUCUAGAGUGAGACCCCAACACGGAGUAACUCUGAUUUUUGUAGACACACAGAUGCCAGAGGACCACCCCUCCUCCAGCAGCUUCCUCCAGAGUCCAUAGAUAUCUACGAGGACCAAGAGGCUCACAAUCAUUACACACGUAAUUAUUCUCAGGCUGCAUGUAGCCUGAAAAGUUCUCUUCUACUUUCCAUAUGUUCUUUUCUCUUGAUCCAUCCCCCUCUCCUUAUUUUUUGCUACAAAAGUCCCUUGACAGUGUCCCACAUUACAAAUACACACUUGCCCCAGGCUCUGACUGAA